rnacentral:rRNA from 1 species
CCUACGGGAGGCUGCAGUGAGGAAUAUUGGUCAAUGGCCGCGAGCCUGAACCAGCCAAGUAGCGUGAAGGAUGACUGCCCUACGGGUUGUAAACUUCUUUUAUCAAGGAAUAAAGUGAGGCACGUGUGCCUUUUUGUAUGUACUUUAUGAAUAAGGAUCGGCUAACUCCGUGCCAGCAGCCGCGGUAAUACGGAGGAUCCGAGCGUUAUCCGGAUUUAUUGGGUUUAAAGGGUGCGUAGAUGGGUUGUUAAGUCAGGGGUGAAAGUUUGCGGCUCAACCGUCAAAUUGCCAUUGAUACUGGCAGUCUUGAGUACAGUUGAGGUAGGCGGAAUGCGUGGUGUAGCGGUGAAAUGCUUAGAUAUCACGAAGAACUCCGAUUGCGAAGGCAGCUUAC